GACUCUGCACCCUUCCGGCCGCUAAGACAAGGCCUCAGACACCGGGUUCUGCCCUGUUUACUGUCAGCAGAGCCAAGCUGAGAAGGAUGGGCCUGAGAAAAGGUUGCUAACUUUGGAGGAAGCCAGCUGCCAUGUCACAAGAAGAUUCAGGAAGCCAUGUGGGGAGGCUCACAUCAUGAGGAACUGAGGUCUUUGCCAAUUACCAGCAAGGAAAUGAGGCCUCCCGCCAACAGCCAUGUGAGUAUCCUACCUUGGAAAUGGACCCUCUAACUUUAAUCAGCCUUCAAAUAACUGCAGCCCCAGUUGAUGGGUUGACUGCAACCUUAGGAGAAACCCCGAGCCAAAAACAUUGAGGAAAAACACCCCCAGAUUCCUAUCAGAAAUUGUGUUAGAUAAUAAAUGUUUAUUGUUUUAA
rnacentral:lncRNA from 1 species